GAGUUUGAUCAUGGCCAGGACGAACCCUGGCGGCGUGCUUAACACAUGCAAGUCGAACGGGAUUCCGCCGACCUUCGGGGAAGCGAAAAUCUAGUGGCGAACGGGUGCGUAACACGUGAGAAACCUGGCCCAGACUUGGGAAUAACAGUCGGAAACGACUGCUAAUACCGAAUACCUUCGGAACGUCGCAUGGCGAAUCGAAGAAAGCUUUUGCGGUUUGGGAGGGUCUCGCGGCCUAUCAGCUAGUUGGUGAGGUAACGGCUCACCAAGGCAUCGACGGGUAGCUGGUCUGAGAGGAUGAUCAGCCACACUGGGACUGAGACACGGCCCAGACUCCUACGGGAGGCAGCAGUGGGGAAUCUUGCACAAUGAGCGAAAGCCUGAUGCAGCAACGCCGCGUGGGGGAAGAAGGCCUUAGGGUUGUAAACCGCUUUCAGCAGGGAAGAAAAUGACGGUACCUGCAGAAGAAGGUGCGGCCAACUACGUGCCAGCAGCGCG
rnacentral:rRNA from 1 species